ACACUUACCUGACAGGGGAGAUAUCAUGAUCACAAAGAUGGUUUUCCCAGAGCCAGGCCUUGUCUGUUGCACUCCAGAUGGGCUGACCCCUGAGAUUUCGCCAAAUGUGGGCAAUGACUGCAUGAUCUGUGCUAGUGAUGGACUGUAUCUCCCUUUU
ensembl:snRNA U1 U1 spliceosomal RNA